UAUGGCGACCGGCGCACGGGUGAGUAACACGUAUCCAACCUGCCGAUGACUUGGGGAUAGCCUUUCGAAAGAAAGAUUAAUACCCGAUGGCAUAGUUCUUCCGCAUGGUAGAACUAUUAAAGAAUUUCGGUCAUCGAUGGGGAUGCGUUCCAUUAGGUUGUUGGCGGGGUAACGGCCCACCAAGCCUUCGAUGGAUAGGGGUUCUGAGAGGAAGGUCCCCCACAUUGGAACUGAGACACGGUCCAA
rnacentral:rRNA from 1 species